rnacentral:rRNA from 1 species
GGGGGUGACUGCGGAGGGAUCAUUACACAAAUAUGAAGGCGGGCUGGAACCUCUCGGGGUUACAGCCUUGCUGAAUUAUUCACCCUUGUCUUUUGCGUACUUCUUGUUUCCUUGGUGGGUUCGCCCACCACUAGGACAAACAUAAACCUUUUGUAAUUGCAAUCAGCGUCAGUAACAAAUUAAUAAUUACAACUUUCAACAACGGAUCUCUUGGUUCUGGCAUCGAUGAAGAACGCAGCGAAAUGCGAUAAGUAGUGUGAAUUGCAGAAUUCAGUGAAUCAUCGAAUCUUUGAACGCACAUUGCGCCCUUUGGUAUUCCAAAGGGCAUGCCUGUUCGAGCGUCAUUUGUACCCUCAAGCUUUGCUUGGUGUUGGGCGUCUUGUCUCUAGCUUUGCUGGAGACUCGCCUUAAAGUAAUUGGCAGCCGGCCUACUGGUUUCGGAGCGCAGCACAAGUCGCACUCUCUAUCAGCAAAGGUCUAGCAUCCAUUAAGCCUUUUUUUCAACUUUUGACCUCGGAUCAGGUAGGGAUACCCGCUGAACUUAAGCAUAUCAAAAAGCCGGAAGGAA